GAUGAACGCUGGCGGCGUGCCUAAUACAUGCAAGUCGAGCGAACAGACGAGGAGCUUGCUCCUCUGACGUUAGCGGCGGACGGGUGAGUAACACGUGGAUAACCUACCUAUAAGACUGGGAUAACUUCGGGAAACCGGAGCUAAUACCGGAUAAUAUAUUGAACCGCAUGGUUCAAUAGUGAAAGACGGUUUUGCUGUCACUUAUAGAUGGAUCCGCGCCGCAUUAGCUAGUUGGUAAGGUAACGGCUUACCAAAGUAACGAUGCGUAGCCGACCUGAGAGGGUGAUCGGCCACACUGGAACUGAGACACGGUCCAGACUCCUACGGGAGGCAGCAGUAGGGAAUCUUCCGCAAUGGGCGAAAGCCUGACGGAGCAACGCCGCGUGAGUGAUGAAGGUCUUCGGGUCGUAAAACUCUGUUAUUAGGGAAGAACAAAUGUGUAAGUAACGAUGCACGUCUUGACGGUACCUAAUCAAAAAGCCACGGCUAACUACGU
rnacentral:rRNA from 1 species